rnacentral:rRNA from 1 species
GACGAACGCUGGCGGCGUGCUUAGCACAUGCAAGUCGAACGAAGAGCGACGGAAGCUUGCUUCUAUCAAUCUUAGUGGCGAACGGGUGAGUAACGCGUAAUCAACCUGCCCUUCAGAGGGGGACAACAGUUGGAAACGACUGCUAAUACCGCAUACGAUCUAACCUCGGCAUCGAGGAUAGAUGAAAGGUGGCCUCUACAUGUAAGCUAUCACUGAAGGAGGGGAUUGCGUCUGAUUAGCUAGUUGGAGGGGUAACGGCCCACCAAGGCGAUGAUCAGUAGCCGGUCUGAGAGGAUGACCGGCCACAUUGGGACUGAGACACGGCCCAGACUCCUACGGGAGGCAGCAGUGGGGAAUCUUCCGCAAUGGACGAAAGUCUGACGGAGCAACGCCGCGUGAGUGAUGACGGCCUUCGGGUUGUAAAGCUCUGUUAAUCGGGACGAAAGGCCUUCUUGCGAAUAGUGAGAAGGAUUGACGGUACCGGAAUAGAAAGCCACGGCUAACUACGU